AGGACGAACGCUGGCGGCGUGCUUAACACAUGCAAGUCGAGCGGUAAGGCCCUUCGGGGUACACGAGCGGCGAACGGGUGAGUAACACGUGGGUGACCUGCCCUCAGCUCUGGGAUAAGCCCGGGAAACUGGGUCUAAUACCGGAUAUGACUUCUCAUCGCAUGAUGGGUUGUGGAAAGUGCGUUCUUAAUUGGGCGUUUCGGCUGGGGAUGGGCCCGCGGCCUAUCAGCUUGUUGGUGGGGUGAUGGCCUACCAAGGCGACGACGGGUA
rnacentral:rRNA from 1 species